rnacentral:pre_miRNA from 1 species
AUCAAUCAUCUCACUACAUCAAUCAUCUCACUACAUCAAUCAUCUCACUACAUCAAUCAGUAGUGAGAUGAUUGAUGUAGUGAGAUGGUUGAUGUAGUGAGAUGGUUGA